ACUUUUCUAGAACCAGAGUAGGUUGCUGUUGUUGAAAGGAAGCUGAGAAACAAGGGAAUGAAUUUAGCUUGAAAAUUUGCUAAGAUAACAAAUUACCAUAUUCUCCAGAAACUUCACUGAGGCAGUUUCAGAGCAAAUCUCCAAGGGCCCUGAAUGCUUAAGAAGUUCGACAUUAACUUUGAAGGCAACUGGCAACCAUGGAAUAUUUUGAGAAAGUUCUUAUAACUGAAGCAACACUAUAAGAAGAUUAAUCUUUCAAUAAAAGUUUAGGAUAUAAUUUAAAAAGGAAAAAUGUAAGCAAAAACCAAGUAUGAUAG
rnacentral:lncRNA from 1 species